rnacentral:rRNA from 1 species
AGUGGAUGGGGAGCAACCUAGUUGUGCGUGUGUAAAGGUAGUGCCAAAAAGCGAUGAUCAUGUUGAAAAUCAAUUCCCGGUACCCGAAACCGACACAGGUGGGCAAGUAGAGAAUACUAAGGGGCGCGAGGUAACUCUCUCCAAGGAACUCGGCAAAAUGACCCCGUAACUUAGGGAGAAGGGGUGCCACCGAGAGGUGGUCGCAGUGAAGAGGCCCAGGCGACUGUUUAGCAAAAACAUAGGUCUCUGCAAACUCGAAAGAGGAGGUAUAGGGGCUGACGCCUGCCCAGUGCCGGAAGGUUAAAGAAGUUGGUCAGUUUUAGGAUGAAGCUAGCGACUGAAGCCCCGGUGAACGGCGGCCGUAACUAUAACGGUCCUAAGGUAGCGAAAUUCCUUGUCGGGUAAGUUCCGACCCGCACGAAAGGCGUAACGAUCUGGGCGCAGUCUCGGAGAGAGGCUCGGCGAAAUAGGAUUGUCUGUGAAGAUACGGACUACCUGCAUUUGGACAGAAAGACCCUAUGAAGCUUUACUAUAGCUUGGAAUUGUGUUCGGGCUUCCUGUGCGCAGGAUAGGUGGGAGGCGUAGAAGGUAUUCUUGUGGGGAUACUGGAGCCAACGGUGAGAUACCACUCUCAGGAGGCUAGAAUUCUAACUUAAUUAAGGACAGUUUCAGGUGGGUAGUUUGACUGGGGCGGUCGCCUCCAAAAAGGUAACGGAGGCGUACAAAGGUUCCCUCAGACUGGUUGGAAAUCAGUCGAAGAGUGCAAAGGCAGAAGGGAGCUUGACUGCGAGAAGUACAGUUCGAGCAGGGUGGAAACACGGUCUUAGUGAUCCGACGGUGCUGUGUGGAAGGGCCGUCGCUCAACGGAUAAAAGUUACUCUAGGAUAACAGGCUGAUCUCCCCCAAGAGUUCACAUCGACGGGGAGGUUUGGCACCUCGAUGUCGGCUCAUCGCAACCUGGGGCGGAAGUACGUCCCAAGGGUUGGGCUGUUCGCCCAUUAAAGCGGUACGUGAGCUGGGUUCAGAACGUCGUGAGACAGUUCGGUCCAUAUCCGAUGUAGGCGUGAGAAUAUUGAGAGGAGCCUUCCUUAGUACGAGAGGACCGGGAAGGACGCACCGCUGGUGUACCUGUUAUGAUGCCAAUUGUAAACGCAGGGUAGCCAAGUGCGGAGAGGAUAACCGCUGAAAGCAUCUAAGUGGGAAGCCCACCUCAAGAUGAGUAUUCUGGUGUAAGGUCACGGGAAGACGACCCGUAAAUAGGCACGAGGUGGAAGUGCAGAGAUGUAUGAAGCCGAAGUGUACUAAUAGACCGUCGGCUUGACC